GAUGAACGCUAGCUACAGGCUUAACACAUGCAAGUCGAGGGGCAGCAUGACUUAGCAAUAGGUUGAUGGCGACCGGCGCACGGGUGAGUAACACGUAUCCAACCUGCCGAUUAUUCCGGGAUAGCCUUUCGAAAGAAAGAUUAAUACUGGAUAGCAUAACGAGAAGGCAUCUUCUUGUUAUUAAAGAAUUUCGAUAAUCGAUGGGGAUGCGUUCCAUUAGUUUGUUGGCGGGGUAACGGCCCACCAAGACAUCGAUGGAUAGGGGUUCUGAGAGGAAGGUCCCCCACAUUGGAACUGAGACACGGUCCAAACUCCUACGGGAGGCAGCAGUGAGGAAUAUUGGUCAAUGGACGAGAGUCUGAACCAGCCAAGUAGCGUGAAGGAUGACUGCCCUAUGGGUUGUAAACUUCUUUUAUAUGGGAAUAAAGUGGGCCACGUGUGGCUUUUUGUAUGUACCAUACGAAUAAGGAUCGGCUAACUCCGUG
rnacentral:rRNA from 1 species